rnacentral:rRNA from 1 species
UACGUAGGGGGCUAGCGUUGUCCGGAAUCAUUGGGCGUAAAGCGCGCGUAGGCGGCCCGGUAAGUCCGCUGUAAAAGUCCAGGGCUCAACCCUGGGAUGCCGGUCGAUACUGCCGGACUAGAGUUCGGAAGAGGCGAGUGGAAUUCCCGGUGUAGCGGUGAAAUGCGCAGAUAUCGGGAGGAACACCAAUGGCGAAGGCAGCUCGCUGGGACGUUACUGACGCUGAGACGCGAAAAGCGUGGGGAGCAAACAGGG